rfam:Oryza sativa (indica cultivar-group) chromosome 11, whole genome shotgun sequence.
AAUAAGUGUAAUCAUAAGUUUCCGCGUACAACUUUAAUCGACCGUCUUAUUUGAAAUUUUUUUAUGAUUACUAAGUAUUUUUUUAUAUUAGAUUAUAAAAUAUGAAUAGAACUUUAUGCAUGAUUUAUGUUUUUAGAUUUUUUUUUCAAAAAAUUAAAUAAGAUAGACGAUUAAAGUUGUGUACAGAAACUCGUGGAAGCACUUAUU